UACGAAGGGGGCGAGCGUUGUUCGGAUUUACUGGGCGUAAAGGGCGCGCAGGCGGCGCAUUUUGUCAGGCGUGAAAGCCCCGGGCUUAACCUGGGAACUGCGUUUGAUACGGAUGGGCUAGAGUUCGGGAGAGGAGAGUGGAAUUCCUGGUGUAGCGGUGAAAUGCGCAGAUAUCGGGAGGAACACCAACGGCGAAGGCAGCACUCUGGGCUGGAACUGACGCUGAGACGCGAAAGCGUGGGGAGCGAACAGG
rnacentral:rRNA from 1 species